GUGCAGCAGCCGCGGUAAUACGAAGGAUGCAAGCGUUGUUCGGAAUUAUUAGGCGUAAAACGCGUGUAGGCAGUUCGUUAAGUCUGAUGUGAAAGCCCAAAGCUCAACCCCGGAAGUGCAUUGGAAACUGGCGAACUUGAGUACGGGAGAGGAAAGUGGAAUUCCGAGUGUAGAGAUGAAAUCCGUAGAUAUUCGGAGGAACACCAGUAGCGAAGGCGGCUUUCUGGACCGAUACUGACGCUGAGACGCGAAAGCGUGGGGAGCAAACAGGAUUAGAUA
rnacentral:rRNA from 1 species